UACGGGGGGAGCAAGCGUUGUUCGGAUUUACUGGGCGUAAAGGGCGCGUAGGCGGCCAGUGCAAGUCAGUUGUGAAAUCUCCGAGCCUAACUCGGAAAGGUCAACUGAUACUGCUCGGCUAGAGUGCGGAAGGGGCAACUGGAAUUCUUGGUGUAGCGGUGAAAUGCGUAGAUAUCAAGAGGAACACCUGCGGCGAAGGCGGGUUGCUGGGCCGACACUGACGCUGAAGCGCGAAAGCUAGGGGAGCGAACGGG
rnacentral:rRNA from 1 species